UGUCAACAUUUGAGAAGUGGGAAUUCAGUGAUUCUAAGUGACAGAAACAAUGGAAAAGCUCCUGGGUUUGCUCAUCCUCUGGCUGUACCUGCACUGUGUGAGCAGUGAGCAGGAGGUGAGGCAGAGUCCUGAAGCUCUGAGCGUCCGUGAAGGAGACAACUUGGUUCUCAACUGCAGUUACACCGACAGCACAAUGUACUCCCUUCAGUGGUUCAGGCAAGAUCCCGGGAAAGGUCUCACAUUUCUGAUCAUACUUCGGUCAAAUAAGAGAGAUGAAAGCAGUGGAAGACUUAAAGCCUCAUUGGAUACAUCUUCAAGACAUAGCUCUUUAUACAUUGCAGCAUCUCACCGUGGUCACUGCACCCCCUACCUCUGUGCUGUUGGGCACAGUGUACAGCCGGCACCUGCACCUGCUACCUAA